GUGAGGAAUUUUCCGCAAUGGGCGAAAGCCUGACGGAGCAAUGCCGCGUGAAGGAUGAAGGCCUAUGGGUUGUAAACUUCUUUUCUCAGAAAAGAAUUAUGACGGUAUCUGAGGAAUAAGCAUCGGCUAACUCUGUGCCAGCAGCCGCGGUAAGACAGAGGAUGCAAGCGUUAUCCGGAAUGAUUGGGCGUAAAGCGUCUGUAGGUUGUUUAAAAAGUAUUCUGUCAAAGAUUAGGGCUUAACCCUAGAUAGGCAGAAUAAACUUUUAAGCUAGAGUUUGGUAGAGGCAGAGGGAAUCCCCGGUGGAGCGGUGAAAUGCGUAGAUAUCGGGAGGAACACCAAAGGCGAAGGCACUCUGCUGGGCCAAUACUAACACUGAGAGACGAAAGCGAGGGGAGCAAAUGGGAUUAGAUACCCUUGUAGUCC
rnacentral:rRNA from 1 species